CACUCUGCUGAGCACGUGUCUCUAAAUUCCUCCUCUUUCUAUUGGCUUUCUUUCAUUGACUCCUCCCCUUUAGAGCUCCACCCAUCUCCUUGGAUCUAAGCUCCACCUUCUUCCCCACUUUGUCCUACCGCGUUUCAAAUUCCAACGGCUCUGGACGCCUGAACGUUGGAACCUCGCUCUCGAUGUCCCGCCCUCCCCAGAUCUAACUCCACCCACUGCCGCUAUGGAGGUCUUCCCGCGGAUCGUGGCGCACAGCAGUUACGAGUCCAUCGCCUGCUGGAACUUGCCUUGCAGACGGCCCCUACCUCGCCCCAGGAUCCCUGUCAGGCGCCACAUGUCGCGGCCAGCACCAUGGAGCUUGCAGCCGAGGGAUCGAGGCCCAAAGGACCGGACAGGGACCAGAGUGGCCGCUGCGCAGUCCCCAGCGGCCGAGUCCCCAGUCAGCCAAUCAGCAAGAAGCCCUGCCGGAAGGAUGACGCUCUAGGAAGGAAGUGGCGGAUGGGGCGGGCUUGGCGCUGGCGAGCCAGAAAGAGGGGGAAAGCGACACCAAGAAUCCAUUCCAAACGAAAAACUAAGAGGAGACGCGGCAGCUCCCAGAUGUUGAUGUUUUGUUUUUUUGACAUAAAUCUUCGCACUCAUA